rnacentral:rRNA from 1 species
UACGUAGGGUGCAAGCGUUGUCCGGAAUUAUUGGGCGUAAAGAGCUCGUAGGCGGUUUGUUGCGUCGGCUGUGAAAUCCCGGGGCUCAACCCCGGGUCUGCAUUCGAUACGGGCAGACUAGAGUUCGGUAGGGGAGUCUGGAAUUCCUGGUGUAGCGGUGAAAUGCGCAGAUAUCAGGAGGAACACCGGUGGCGAAGGCGGAACUCUGGGCCGAUACUGACGCUGAGGAGC